ensembl:snoRNA small nucleolar RNA, C/D box 11B
UGUGGUCAGUGAUGAUGUUUUAUUCCUAAUUGCCUGAUAACCCAUGAGGGCAAUUUUAGUCACUACCUCAUCUGAGACCACU